UACAGAGGUCUCAAGCGUUGUUCGGAUUCAUUGGGCGUAAAGGGUACGUAGGUGGCGGGGCAAGUUUGGUGUGAAAUCCCGGGGCUCAACCCCGGAACUGCACUGAAUACUGCCUUGCUAGAGCACUGGAGAGGGAACUGGAAUUUACGGUGUAGCAGUGAAAUGCGUAGAUAUCGUAAGGAAGACCAGUGGCGAAGGCGAGUUCCUGGACAGUUGCUGACACUGAGGCACGAAGGCUAGGGGAGCAAACGGG
rnacentral:rRNA from 1 species